GUCCCAAUGGGAGAGUGGCGAACGGGUGCGUAACACGUGAGAAACCUGUCCCGGAGAUGGGAAUAGCCCAGGGAAACCUGGAUUAAUACCCAAUACCCUGAGAGCGUCGCAUGGCGCACUUAGGAAAGGUUCCGGCGCUCCGGGAGGGUCUCGCGGCCUAUCAGCUAGUUGGUGAGGUAAAGGCUCACCAAGGCAUCGACGGGUAGCUGGUCUGAGAGGACGAUCAGCCACACUGGGACUGAGACACGGCCCAGACUCCUACGGGAGGCAGCAGUAGGGAAUCUUGCGCAAUGGGCGAAAGCCUGACGCAGCAACGCCGCGUGGGGGAAGAAGGCUCUAGGGUCGUAAACCCCUUUCAGCAGGGACGAAAAUGACGGUACCUGCAGAAGAAGCGCCGGCCAACUACGUGCCAGCAGCCGCGGUAAUACGUAGGGCGCAAGCGUUGUCCGGAUUUAUUGGGCGUAAAGGGCUCGUAGGCGGUUUGGUAAGUCGGGUGUGAAAACUCAGGGCUCAACUCUGAGACGCCACUCGAUACUGCCAUGACUAGAGUCCGGUAGGGGAGUGCGGAAUUCCUGGUGUAGCGGUGAAAUGCGCAGAUAUCAGGAGGAACACCAACAGCGAAGGCAGCACUCUGGGCCGGUACUGACGCU
rnacentral:rRNA from 1 species